UUUCCGUAGGUGAACCUGCGGAAGGAUCAUUAAAAGAGAAUCAUCUUGGGUAAAACCAAGCAUGAAUCCCAACCCUUGUUUAUACAAAAAACAAAAAUUGUUGCUUCGGCGAAUGAUUUACUUCGUCGCCAGAAGACCCAAACCAAACUAUUAUUAAACGUCUGAAUUAAUAUUUGAAAUUCGAUUAAAACCGAAUAAAUCAAUUUAUUUACAACUUUCAACAACGGAUCUCUUGGUUCUGGCAUCGAUGAAGAACGCAGC
rnacentral:misc_RNA from 1 species